rnacentral:misc_RNA from 1 species
GAUGAAGAACGUAGCGAAAUGCGAUACUUGGUGUGAAUUGCAGAAUCCCGUGAACCAUCGAGUCUUUGAACGCAAGUUGCGCCCGAAGCCAUCAGGUUGAGGGCACGUCUGCCUGGGCGUCACAUAUCGUUGCCCAAUGCCUAUUGCAGUGCAAUAGGAAUUUCUAGGGCGAAUGAUGGCUUCCCGUGAGCGUUGUUGCCUCGCGGUUGGUUGAAAAUCGAGUCCUUGGUAGGGUGUGCCAUGGUAGAUGGUGGUCGAGUUAGAUCGAUACCGAUCAUGUGCAUGCUCCCCAAAAUAUGGCCUCUAUGACCCACACGCGUCUUUUGACGCUCAUGACGAGACCUCAGGUCAGGCGGGGCUACCCGCUGAAUUUAAGCAUAUCAAUAAGCGGAGGA